rnacentral:lncRNA from 1 species
CAAAAAGGCAGGAAGCAACAUUCUGAAAUGGAGACAGAGGCGCCCUACUAGUCACUGCUAACUCACCGGGGCCCAAGGGGGAACCAGGACACUUGCAAGGGAGGGCAGAGGGGUUUUCUCUUCCUGGAAACGGGGGGGGGGCGGGGGGGGGGGGGGGAAUAAAUAAAACUUGGCACUUUCUCAGCAUAACAGCUGUGCCUGUCUCCACAAGAAAACACCAUCAAGCGAUUCGUGAAUCCGUGUUAAAUAAUUGCUCUUCAUGUAAGGUGACUAUUGUGUUCUGUCCCUCAUUAUGAAAAUCUUGUGGUCUGAUUUUCAGCACGUUUAAUCCUGUUCAAAACCAAAUUAAACCCUGAAAGCAUAUGUUACUGUAAAGUAUGAGUCACAGACUGUCAUGAUAUUUUGCAGAAGAUUAUUCAGCAGCUGUCUUCAAAACGAAAAAAGCGAAGAGCUACAUUUGCCCUGUGCCUGUUACCCGCCGGAGGCUUGUCGGGCCACGUCGGGGAGCGUGGAGGGAGAGGCAUGAGCCGCGCGCUCGGGGGACCCCAGACAUUGGAAAAGAGGGACAAAAAAGUUCUAGAAGCUGAGAGAUGUCGUGACUAUAAGAAGAAGCAACGUGUUUUGCCUCUUUAUUGCAAAGUAAUAGAAAUAAUAAUGGGCUAAUGAUGAUGAUGGCUGAAGUUUCCUGACAACCUCAGUGUGUGCUAGGUCCUGUGCUGAGCACUUUAUACAUACUUCUGUCCAGUGGAGCAUAAAAGAAACCUGUUGCGCUUCUCAGAAGAGGUCUACUCAUCAUUGUCGACAGAGAGGCAUGUGAGAAGUCCCAAUUCAGAGCAGUGACAGCCA